ACUAAAUCCUUUUGUCUGCUGCAGGAGAACAAAGGAUUGAUAAUGGCAGCAAUACGCAACGCCAGGGAAACCACCAAAAACCGGUGCAGAAAAUUUUCUGCCGAUUGUCGAAAAUUAUCUCGGAAGAACGGGGAAGCAAUUGGAAUACUUUUAAGUUCUAGGUCGCCCACCAGUAUAAUGCGGGAAUACAUUUAAGUUCUAGGUCGCCCACCAGUAUAAUGCGGGAAUACAUUUAAGUUCUAGGUCGCCCACCAGUAAAAUGCGGGAAUACUUUUAAGUUCUAGGUCGCUCACCAGUA
rnacentral:lncRNA from 1 species